AGGACGAACGCUGGCGGCGCGCUUAACACAUGCAAGUCGAGCGAGAACCGGGACUUCGGUCCCGGGGACAGCGGCGAACGGGUGAGUAACACGUGGGUAAUCAACCCUCGGCACCGGGAUAGCCCGAGGAAACUCGGAUUAAUACCGGAUAGCCCCUCCGACUCUCGAGUCGGUCGGGAAAGGUAGCUUAGGCCCCUGGCCGGGGACGAGCCCGCGGCGGAUUAGCUUGUUGGUGGGGUAAUGGCCUACCAAGGCAACGAUCCGUAGCUGGUCUGAGAGGACGAUCAGCCACACUGGGACUGAGACACGGCCCAGACUCCUACGGGAGGCAGCAGUGGGAAUCUUGCGCAAUGGGCGAAAGCCUGACGCAGCGACGCCGCGUGAGGGAAGAAGGCCUUCGGGUUGUAAACCUCUUUCAGGAGGGACGAAGCUACUCGGGUGAAUAGCCCAGAGGGUGACGGUACCUCCAGAAGAAGCCCCGGCUAACUACGUGCCAGCAGCCGC
rnacentral:rRNA from 1 species